AUCUGACCACUUAUUACAUUGCUAAACAUGGCAGGAUGUCACCUGACUCGACACUAAGCUGCCCAUCAAUCAUCACAUCCCCUUUCUCCCACUUACUUUUCUAUCACCCCGUAGAUUCCCAACAGCUGUCCUUAAGUCCUCCAGGCUACAGAAACCACUCUUGAAACAAUAUGUCAGCAUACCAUUAGUGCCCUUUAACUCAUACCCUCACUUCCCAGCCCCUCCUCUGUGAACGAAGUCUCUCCUUACCUCUUCCUCCAGCACUAAUCAAUCUAAUGUUCCUUCACUCUUUUCUCCCCUCCCAGCUUCCCUCCAACCUGCACCCAAUCCCCCCAAAUCCUUUCUCCUCUUUCUUUGCAAUUCUCCACACCAAGACUGAACACUUGUCAGAAAUGGUGCUCCCCCUGGGCCCCUCCACACCUCCUGAAGCCCAAUCCCUGUCACUUCUUACCACCCCCAGCUCCCUGAUGGCCCUGGGCCUCCCUCCCGACAGCUGAGGCCCUUCCUGGAUCUCUACACGUCACCAAGCUAAGCCAGUGUUCCAAAAUAGUCUCCUGAACAAUGAUGACAACUGCACAGUUAUUUUGGAAGAACUUCCUGGCAGUGAUGGCAGUGGAACAUUGGAAACAGAGAUGAACAGGAGGUGGGAAGAGGAGGCUAAGUACAUGUAGGCCUAAAAGUCUCUGCCUUGGGAGAUUUUUAACAGUCCUGGAUGGAGGAGAAACAAGAUCUUAUAUUGGACACUGAUUCAUAGCAUAUACAGCCUUCUGAGGAACUUCACUCCACCCCUGCAAGAAAUUGCCACCUAGCUGAUGUCAUAACUGAGACUUCAAAAUGCUAUUCCACUGUUUUAUCAAGCCAAUUGCUUCAGGAUGAUGGGGAAGAUAAUCAGACCAGCAAAUUCCACGAGCAUGGG
rnacentral:lncRNA from 10 species